GGAGAAAGGUUUGGGGAACGUGGCAGCAUUCGUGCUGUGUUAUAGCCCCUUGCUGUAUGUCUCGGUCGGGACUGAGGACCGCAGCGCGCCUUAUGGCCGGGGUUCGCCCACGUACGCGCUUAGGAUGUUGGCAUAAUGGCUUUAAGCGA
rnacentral:rRNA from 1 species